AGUAAUGGCGAAUGAAAGGAGAUGUGCUUAGUGUCAAAAUCAGAUCACUCUGACUUGUAGGCUGUAAGGGCUUCGCCAACUUGGGUGCAGGUGCAAGUCUCUUGGAAAGGAGCACCAGUGAGGGUCAAGGUCCCGUCUGGCAUCUGUCAUCCCUCGUAGACGGUCUGCCCAUUGAGAGUCGUGUUCUUCUGGAGUAGAGCGCCAAUUGGGUGGUACUCUUUGCCCAAGGAGGAUUACGUGCUUGAGACCAAUAGUGAACAAGUACCAUGAGGGAAGGGUGAAAAGGACUUUGGAAAGAGGGUUAAGAGGGCAUGAAGCUGCUGGAAGGGAAGUGGAUUGGACUUUUACAUCGCAGUAAGAUUGCAGGCUGUGAUCUCCACUUGUGGGGCAUUGCGUGCUGUGUUUCUUGCUGCUUGGUUGGGUUUUGCGUUGUGCCCAGAAUCUCAGUUUUGACUGGCUGAAGGAUUGCGAUCUGGACCAUGUCACUGCCAACUUUUGGCGCAGCAUUCAACCUUGACCAAAAGGUUCAAUUUUACCCGUCUUGAAACACGGACCAAGGAGUCUAUUGCGUGUGCAAGUGCAAGGGUAUCACACCUGACAGCUCAACAAAGGUGACUGCUGGGACCUCUGCACCAGCAACCAACUGAUCGCUUAGGAGAUGUUUGUGUAUGAGCACACUUGCUAGGACCCGAAAGGUGGUGAACUAUGCCUGAGAAGGGUGACGUCAGGGGAAACUCUGAUGGAAGCUCGUAGCGCUACUGACGUGCAAAUCGUUCGUCUGACUUGGGUAUAGGG
rnacentral:rRNA from 1 species